rnacentral:rRNA from 1 species
AGACCCGAAACCCGGUGAUCUAGCCAUGGGCAGGUUGAAGGUUGGGUAACACUAACUGGAGGACCGAACCGACUAAUGUUGAAAAAUUAGCGGAUGACUUGUGGCUGGGGGUGAAAGGCCAAUCAAACCGGGAGAUAGCUGGUUCUCCCCGAAAGCUAUUUAGGUAGCGCCUCGUGAACUCAUCUUCGGGGGUAGAGCACUGUUUCGGCUAGGGGGUCAUCCCGACUUACCAACCCGAUGCAAACUGCGAAUACCGAAGAAUGUUAUCACGGGAGACACACGGCGGGUGCUAACGUCCGUCGUGAAGAGGGAAACAACCCAGACCGCCAGCUAAGGUCCCAAAGUCAUGGUUAAGUGGGAAACGAUGUGGGAAGGCACAGACAGCCAGGAUGUUGGCUUAGAAGCAGCCAUCAUUUAAAGAAAGCGUAAUAGCUCACUGGUCGAGUCGGCCUGCGCGGAAGAUGUAACGGGGCUAAACCAUGCACCGAAGCUGCGGCAGCGACACUAUGUGUUGUUGGGUAGGGGAGCGUUCUGUAAGCCGUUGAAGGUGUACUGUGAGGUAUGCUGGAGGUAUCAGAAGUGCGAAUGCUGACAUAAGUAACGAUAAUGCGGGUGAAAAACCCGCACGCCGGAAGACCAAGGGUUCCUGUCCAACGUUAAUCGGGGCAGGGUGAGUCGACCCCUAAGGCGAGGCCGAAAGGCGUAGUCGAUGGGAAACAGGUUAAUAUUCCUGUACUUGGUGUUACUGCGAAGGGGGGACGGAGAAGGCUAUGUUAGCCGGGCGACGGUUGUCCCGGUUUAAGCAUGUAGGCGGAGGUUCCAGGUAAAUCCGGUACCUUUUUAACGCUGAGGUGUGAUGACGAGGCACUACGGUGCUGAAGUAACAAAUGCCCUGCUUCCAGGAAAAGCCUCUAAGCAUCAGGUAACACGAAAUCGUACCCCAAACCGACACAGGUGGUCAGGUAGAGAAUACCAAGGCGCUUGAGAGAACUCGGGUGAAGGAACUAGGCAAAAUGGUGCCGUAACUUCGGGAGAAGGCACGCUGAUAUGUAGGUGAAGUGAUUUACUCAUGGAGCUGAAAUCAGUCGAAGAUACCAGCUGGCUGCAACUGUUUAUUAAAAACACAGCACUGUGCAAACACGAAAGUGGACGUAUACGGUGUGACGCCUGCCCGGUGCCGGAAGGUUAAUUGAUGGGGUUAUCCGUAAGGAGAAGCUCUUGAUCGAAGCCCCGGUAAACGGCGGCCGUAACUAUAACGGUCCUAAGGUAGCGAAAUUCCUUGUCGGGUAAGUUCCGACCUGCACGAAUGGCGUAAUGAUGGCCAGGCUGUCUCCACCCGAGACUCAGUGAAAUUGAACUCGCUGUGAAGAUGCAGUGUACCCGCGGCAAGACGGAAAGACCCCGUGAACCUUUACUAUAGCUUGACACUGAACACUGGUCCUUGAUGUGUAGGAUAGGUGGGAGGCUUUGAAGUGUGGACGCCAGUCUGCAUGGAGCCAUCCUUGAAAUACCACCCUUUAAUGGCU